rnacentral:rRNA from 1 species
AACGAACGCUGGCGGCAGGCCUAACACAUGCAAGUCGAGCGAACCCUUCGGGGUUAGCGGCGGACGGGUUAGUAACGCGUGGGAAUAUACCCUUUGGUACGGAAUAGCCUCGGGAAACUGAGAGUAAUACCGUAUGUGCCCUUCGGGGGAAAGAUUUAUCGCCAAAGGAUUAGCCCGCGUUGGAUUAGAUAGUUGGUGGGGUAAUGGCCUACCAAGUCUACGAUCCAUAGCUGGUUUGAGAGGAUGAUCAGCAACACUGGGACUGAGACACGGCCCAGACUCCUACGGGAGACAGCAGUGGGGAAUCUUAGACAAUGGGCGCAAGCCUGAUCUAGCCAUGCCGCGUGGACGAUGAAGGCCUUAGGGUUGUAAAGUCCUUUCAGAUGGGAAGAUAAUGACGGUACCAUCAGAAGAAGCCCCGGCUAACUCCGUG